CCUAAGGGAAGACGGGUGUAUCAUCAUGCCAAAGGACACAAUUGGAGACACUGAUUGUUUCACCAAGGCUUUAUCUGAAAUGCCAUGUUUUCAGACUGUUUUCAAAAAUUGGAGUUGACUUAUAGAGCCAAUAAAAACCCCUUGGAGAAACUGGCCUCAUGUCUUAUCUAUCCAGUCCCUGUACAAGAUUCCUGUGUCUGCAGUUGGUUGAAUCCAUGGGUGUGGAACCUUGAAUUCAGAGGGCUAACUGUAUAGUGAGACCUAAAGAUAUUGGCAGAAAUUGGCUGUAUGAAGGUGGAG
rnacentral:lncRNA from 10 species